GGCAUGUUCUACAACAGAGAGCAGAAAUGAACAGGUGCUGUCUGGACAACAGUUUCUAUCUGCUAUAGAAGAAAAUCUCUCUCAACCUAAAUAUGACAUUUAUAGUGAUGACUUCAAAAAAGAACUAAGAGAUUUUUGUUUCGAUGUGGCAGAGAAGUUAGACAAAUUAAGACACAAAUUUAACAUAGAUUCUAGCGAAAGAUCUGCAUCAGUUUUGUAUGAGUUAGAGAGGAUAACCAUUCUACAGGUUGAGAAGUUUCUAGACUGUUGUAAAGAGAAGUAUGUGAGGGCAUGUAUAGAACCAGGUUUGUAAACAUCUUCUUUCAAGUACAAGUGUAAAUGAAUGAUGCUUU